rnacentral:rRNA from 1 species
UACGUAGGGUGCGAGCGUUGUCCGGAAUUACUGGGCGUAAAGAGCUCGUAGGUGGUUUGUCGCGUUGUUCGUGAAAACUCACAGCUCAACUGUGGGCGUGCGGGCGAUACGGGCAGACUGGAGUACUGCAGGGGAGACUGGAAUUCCUGGUGUAGCGGUGAAAUGCGCAGAUAUCAGGAGGAACACCGGUGGCGAAGGCGGGUCUCUGGGCAACUACUGACGCUGAGGAGCGAAAGCGUGGGGAGCGAACAGG